AAAAAGCCUGGUCCUGACUUUAACAUCAGUUAUAACCCAAUUUACACAUGCAAGUACCCGCAACCCUGUGAGAAUGCCCUCUACCCUCGAAAGAGAAAGAGGAGCAGGCAUCAGGCACACACAAGUAGCCCAAAACGCCUUGCUCAGCCACACCCCCAAGGGAAAUCAGCAGUGAUAAACAUUAAGCCAUGAGCGUAAGCUCGACUUAGUUAGGGUUAAUAAGGGCCGGUAAAACUCGUGCCAGCCACCGCGGUUAUACGAGAGGCCCAAAUAGAUGCUUCAUCGGCGUAAAGUGUGAUUAGAGAACUCAAUAUAUUAAAGCCAAACAUUCCUUAUGCUGUCAUACGCUAAUUGGAUACAUGAAGCCCAACCACGAAAGUGACUUUAUAACACUUGAACUCACGACAGCUAGAACACAAACUGGGAUUAGAUACCCCACUAUGCCUGACUUUAAACCAUGGCAGUUGAAGCCUACAAAUUCUGCCCGCCUGGGGACUACGAGCAUUAGCUUAAAACCCAAAGGACUUGGCGGUGCCUUAUACCCCACUAGAGGAGCCUGUUCUAUAACCGAUAAUCCCCGUUAAACCUCACCUCUUCUUGUCAAUCCCGCCUAUAUACCGCCGUCGCCAGUUUACAUUGUGAAGUAACAACAGUAAGCAAGAAGGGUAAUGCCCAAAACGUCAGGUCGAGGUGUAGCGAAUGAAGAGGGAAGAAAUGGGCUACAUUUUCUGACACAGAAUAUAACGGACAAUGCAAUGAAAUACGCACAAUCGAAGGUGGAUUUAGCAGUAAAAAAGAAUUAGAGAGUCUUUUUGAAGCCGGCUCUGAGGCGCGUACACACCGCCCGUCACUCUCCUCGAAAAAUUAAACACAUAUAUAAUAACCUAAAAAAACAAAAGAGGAGGCAAGUCGUAACAUGGUAAGUGUACUGGAAAGUGCACUUGGAAUAAU
rnacentral:ncRNA from 1 species